GAUUUAGCAAGUAAAUAAGAAAUAAACUUUUAGUAUAAGUAUAUCCCAUGCAAUAAUUGGGACAUACUUAUACCAAAACACCAUUCGUUGCUUAUCUGAAAUUCAAAUAUAACUAGGCAUCCUG
rnacentral:miRNA from 1 species